GUGCAAUUGCCCUAACAAGUGUUUUUGCUUCACACUGUCUUUUGGAAUUGUACUUUGAAUGAUACUGUCCUACUAAUCGCCUCCAGAAGAAAGAAACUGUUGGUUUGGGACGAAAUCUGCCUGGCUUAGAUUACCUCCUAAUAUAAGAAACAUACGAGCAGAAAUUAACUGCCAUACGUUCAAACCCAAAUAUUGGAAAGCCCUUAAAAGGGCAUCACCAGGGUUCGUCUUCUGUCCGUAUUAAUAAUGCGGACAGAAUUGUAUAUAACUUUAACGAUACAGUGGUUGAUAUACAAGCCCUUGGACCUCAUGAUAGAGCAUAUCGAUAGGAUUAUGUACUGUCCCACUAAUAGCUUCUAGAAGAAAGAAAAACUGUUGGUUUGGGACGAAACCGUCUGUUUUCCUGAUCGUUUCCAAUUUCGUAUUCAAAAUCAAGAAAAUGGGGUUUUGCUGGUGAGUGCUGCCAUGGUGUUUUUCAGAUUUACCAUUUUUAAUAUUUUAGUGAAGCCCGUCUUCUGUCCUGGGAUUUAUGAAAUUUAUAUGUGAAAUGAAUUCUUCAGAGAAAUACUUUCCCCCUGUUUUACCAGGGUGCAAACUCAUGUUCCGUCCUGGUAUUGAUGUUACGCCAUCAUGUA